rnacentral:lncRNA from 1 species
UGUGUUUUCACGGGAGCCGAGCCGGGAGCCCACUCGGGUGACCCGAGUAUUUAACGGUGUCGGUCCCGCGGCUCCGCCUCAAAAUGUGUUCCCUCUUCGAGCCGAGCGCGAGCAUGGCUCCCGUUCUGCUCGUCGUCUUCCUCGCCACCGCCUUCCACCAGGUGUGCAUGACGUCAGGGGACGCCCGGGUGGGGCGGAGCGACGUGCGGGAGGUGCUGCGGGGGCAGAUCGACCCCUCAUUCUGGCCGACGCGGGGCCGCCGGGGCGGCUCCUCGGAGGAGUCGGAGCCCCCCUUUUGGGCGAACCGCGGGCGGGAGUUCCAGUCCGAGGAGGAGCAGCCCCCCUUCUGGGGCAACCGCGGCCGGACCCUCGACAUGGACCCUGACACCCACCACCACAACCGCCCGCCCAUGGAGGCCCUCCUAGCUGUCGAUAGGGAUCCUGAGGCUCUUAUACCACACAUCCAAAAAUGGUUUAAUGUGCGAAAGCGGCAGCAGAGAUUUGCUUCAUGCUGUGACACGCCAUUCAGCGCUAACUACCCAAUGUAUGUUGAAGAGCCUCAACAUAUACUCUUGGAAAGACGAGGUGGAUCGGAGGAGAAGGUUGAUCAGUUCUGGGUCUCGCGCGGUCGUCGGGAAGCGACGGAGAAGCGGGACACAAACCUGGAGCGGCUCAGCCGGGAGUUCUCACCGCUGGACGAAGACGAGGAUCAAGAUCCGGGCGUCCAGAAACGGAGCGAGCCCCCCCCCCGCCCAAAGUCGAGGACCCCAACGCCGAAGACGCCAAGUUCUGGAAGUCCCUGGCCAGCUCGAUAGGCGGCAAACGGGCGCACCCCAGCAACGCCUCCGACGCUGAGCCCCGACAGUAGUUAGUCCUCCCCCCCCCUCCCCCCCCCCUCCCCCCCUCCCCCCAGCCCGACGGCCAAAUCAUAGCGCGAGAGUUUCAGUUUUUAUCCACGUUUUCACAUUAAAGUUUUUAUACACGGUUAUAGCUUACACUACUCAUUUUACUUCCUAUCAAAGACGGUGCGUAGAGUGCAUAGAGCCGUGGUGUAAGUGGGAGAGCUGGCGCCUUGUUCUGGUCAACGAGUUACGAGCCCGGUGUGCGCUGAGCUUUCGGUCACUUUUUUGAUACAUUUUCGGUCCCAAAUGGCGAUGUGGAAUGCUGCCGUGCUAAGGAAGAAAACCGUAUAAUCCUUCAGACGUUGCCAAAUUUCCUUCGAUAAAAACCGAAUUUACAGGGAAAUUUGUGAAUAUCUUUUUCUAAAAAUUUCAGACAAUUUCGUACGCAAUUUAAUCUGAUGCAUCUGAAAAAUUUAAAGAAAAAUGUGCAUGAAUGUCGUCAAAAAUACAUGUUUUAUUAAGGGAAAUUUGGCAACUCUCGAAUGUUCAUACGGCGUUUUUCCUUAGCACGCCAGAAUGCGUGGUAAUUCCUAUCUCCUUUGUUUUUAUACACGGUUAUAGCAUACACUCCUCAUUUUACUCCUGGCAAAGACAGUGCAUAGCGUGCAUGAAGUCGUAGUGUAAAUGGGAAAGCUCUGCCGUGCUAAGGAAGAACGCCGUAUGAACAUUUGAGAGUUGUCAAAUUGCCCCGGAUCAAACUUGUAUUUUUUAGGAAAGUUAUAAUUAUUUUUCCUCGACAUUUUCAGAGACUUUACGUGAAAUUGUGAACAAAAUUAUCUGAAAAAUUGGUAGGUAAAUAUUCAUGAGUUUACCAUGAAAUUCGUGUUUUAUCAAAGGUGAUUUGGCAACGCCUGAAGGUUCAUACGGCAUUUUUCCUUAGCACGGCAGAGCUGGCGGCAUGUUCAUGGGGCCGAUUAUUGAAAUUGAUAGACAAAGCUAUAGACGGAAAGACAGAAGGGAUAUGGAGGGGCCCUAUCCGUGGAAUCGGGUGGUUGCUAUGGAUAAAGGAGGUAAGUAGAGAAAGAAGAGGAGCAGAGGAGAAAAGGAAGCCAAACAAACAGAAUGCAAUGGUAGUUCUAUCGCAUACGGAGUAGAAAACCUCGACGGGCUGACUGUUGAGAUUGAUUAAGGAUAUGGUGGGAUCCUAAUGGUGGGAUCGGGUGAUUGCAAUGGACAAAGGAGGUAGGUAAUAGACUAACUAAUGGCAACCCACUAGAGACCCUUUAGUUAAUCCAUAAAGGGUCUCUUGUUUCCAUUAUUUUCACCCUGAGUCUAUAAGAAUUACCCAUCUUAACGAAUAGGAUCGCUCCGUACUCCCUACGUCUUUUUGUCUAUAGCUUUGUCUAUCAGUUUCAAUAAUCAGUCGACGAGUUCCGAGCCCGGUGUGCGCCGAGCUUCGGUCACUUUCUCGAAACAUGUUUGAUCCAAAAUGGCGAUGUAGAAUACGUAGUAAAUCCUGUCCUCUUUGUUUACAUUAGAUGGCCGGGCCCUGGUGUAUAGAAAACAAUCGGAUAGCCGGGGAUCCGUGUAUCGCAAACAAUCGAUUAUGUAUCGAAAAAGUGACCCGGCGUGACACAGGAGUCUCGGAUUACGGGACCUGGAAAAUGUUUAAAAGUAGCGCCUGCUCUCCAUUACAACACAUUACAACUCUACUUAUGUUCUCUAUGAGACAGUGCUAUUUCAUUUUACCAAAGAUUCCGGGAUCGUCAUGUUGUGUGUCCAAAACGCAACCACGAAAGCAUGGAGAAGAUAACACGAAUCGUCGUUGCCCAAACAAAAGGACGUAACUCCAUUCCGCGGUUACAAAAUUGAUUCAAACAAUUCAAUUUUUCAAAAGAAUAUACCUGUACCGUUUUGGUCGAAAAUUUUCCUGAUUUUUGCAUGAGAUCAGAGAAAAAAUCAGUAAAAUUUUCAAUUAGAAUUGCCAAAGAUUCUCGUAGUAAAAUGCAAUUUCCGAGUGGCAAUUUGUCAGCAUUGAAAUGAAGUUACGUUCUUUCGUGGUGCGAGCGACGAAAUGUGAUGCACUAUAGCAAAAUCCUUCACAAUAUCUAGGAGGGGGGGGAGGGGGAGCAAAUAGAUUUCUAAAGGGGGUGGAAACGUGGUAACUCUCACAAACUGACAACACUGGAUUCGUGCUUAUUUAAAUGCGUGUAAGACAAUCGAUAAAUAACGAGACAGGCCUCCGUACAAAUAAUCGAUUUUUCAUGAUAUAAGUUGAAAUGCUUUCAGGAUAAAUAGUUUUUCAGGGUGCGAGAAUCUCCUUUUUCCAUAUAAAAAGUGACUUUUAUUGAUUCUUUUCGGUUUAACUCAGUCCAUACAUCACGUUUUCUUUGCGCCGUUCUUCCAUGCUGCCAUGCUAAAAAAAAAAAAAAAAAAAAAAUCUUAAAUUUGCCGCCAAGAAGUAGAUUUUCUUAAAUCAAGAACUCUACUUCUUAAUAUAAACUACUUUUUUGCCUCACCUAAGCAUUAUCUUUAUUGUAUAAAGAAAAAUUCAGCUUAAA